GACGAACGCUGGCGGCGUGCCUAACACAUGCAAGUCGAACGGAAAGGCCCUGCUUUUGUGGGGUGCUCGAGUGGCGAACGGGUGAGUAACACGUGAGUAACCUGCCCUUGACUUUGGGAUAACUUCAGGAAACUGGGGCUAAUACCGGAUAGGAGCUCCUGCUGCAUGGUGGGGGUUGGAAAGUUUCGGCGGUUGGGGAUGGACUCGCGGCUUAUCAGCUUGUUGGUGGGGUAGUGGCUUACCAAGGCUUUGACGGGUAGCCGGCCUGAGAGGGUGACCGGCCACAUUGGGACUGAGAUACGGCCCAGACUCCUACGGGAGGCAGCAGUGGGGAAUAUUGCACAAUGGGCGGAAGCCUGAUGCAGCAACGCCGCGUGCGGGAUGACGGCCUUCGGGUUGAAAACCGCUUUCGCCUGUGACGAAGCGUGAGUGACGGUAAUGGGUAAAGAAGCACCGGCUAACUACGUG
rnacentral:rRNA from 1 species